rnacentral:rRNA from 1 species
AAUAAACGCUGGCGGCGCGCUUAACACAUGCAAGUCGAACGAGAACGUUCCUUCGGGAACUAGUAGAGUGGCGGACGGGUGAGGAAUACAUCGGAAUCUAAUCUGUCGUGGGGGAUAACGUAGGGAAACUUACGCUAAUACCGCAUACGCACUACGGGGGAAAGCAGGGGAUCUUCGGACCUUGCGCGAUUGAAUGAGCUGAUGUCGGGUUAGAUAGUUGGCGGGGUAAAGGCCCACCAAGGCGACGAUCCGUAGCUGGUCUGAGAGGAUGAUCAGCCACACUGGAACUGAGACACGGUCCAGAAUCCUACGGGAGGCAGCAGUGGGGAAUAUUGGACAAUGGGCGCAAGCCUGAUCCAGCCAUACCGCGUGGGUGAAGAAGGCCUUCGGGUUGUAAAGCCCUUUUGUUGGGAAAGAAAUCCAUCUGGUUAAUACCCGGAUGGGAUGACGAUACCCAAAGAAUAAGCACCGGCUAACUUCGUGCCAGCCGCCGCCGUAA